AAGUUAUAAUGUGGACACUUCCUCAACACAUCUUUGAAUCUCUCCUAAGCUUUAUACAAACUCUCUUGAUCAUGGUGGGCAAAAGUCUUUAUCUUGUUGCAAAGCUU
rfam:Jatropha curcas cultivar GZQX0401 scaffold146_26, whole genome shotgun sequence.